rnacentral:lncRNA from 1 species
GCCCGUGCUUGGGUAGAGAGUCAAUUAGGGCAACGCCACUAUAAAAAGGCCUCCUUCAAGUCACUUUUCCGCAACAAUAUUCGCCCUUUCUUCUCUUGAUUCUAGCCCUAAAUAUUAUUUGCUCUAUCGGUGUAUUAAUAUUUGAUUUUUGGGAAGAAAAUGAUGAAAAUCUCAGCUUCGUGCUAACGUAGCAUCAACAAUUGAAAUCUGGUGAUGCAGUGAGCGGCACUUUCCACACGAGAUUUCUGAUACUCCGAUCUUUUCUCUCUUAUUUCUGAUACUUUUUUUUUUUUAUAUAAAACAUAAGUAUCUCAUAAACAGUGACAAAUUUCAAUUCGUCAUGAUUUUUUAUCGAUAUAUUUUUAUUUUUUUAGUCUGCUUUUUCUUUUCUUUUUUUUCUUUCGCAAUUUUCUGCCUUUCCUUGAACUCGAGUUUGUUUUUGGGUUUUUCAUUUU